UACGUAGGGUGCAAGCGUUGUCCGGAAUUAUUGGGCGUAAAGAGCUCGUAGGCGGUCUGUCGCGUCUGGUGUGAAAACUCAAGGCUUAACCUUGGGCCUGCAUCGGGUACGGGCAGACUAGAGUGCGGUAGGGGAGACUGGAAUUCCUGGUGUAGCGGUGAAAAUGCGCAGAUAUCAGGAGGAACACCGGUGGCGAAGGCGGCGACCUGGUCCUUGACUGACGCUGAGGCGCGAAAGCGUGGGGAGCAAACAGG
rnacentral:rRNA from 1 species